UCUGAUUCAUUUCGUUUCCUAACAAACUUCUAAGUUAACGGGGAAACAGAAUCAAUACAAAGAAUGCCAAAAUCCUAGUCAAUGAAAUGUUGAUCAAUGUAGAAACAAAUCAAUGAAGUGUGAAGUUAGCAAGAAUUCAUAUUGUCCUUAGACUUCAACUAAACUAUUGGCAUGUUUUAACAGAGAAUAAGAAGCCAUCCAAAUGUGAUCCUUAAUCAGCAUAGUAACAAGACUAACAUGUUCACUUGAAAGCCAACAGCUUUUAUCACCAACUCAGCUAAACCGAACAAAAAAUUUGAACUUGAAUUAUCACUUCCUCUCAAAUGUGAAUGAACUACCUCUCUUUGAAUGAAAAAUCCUUUUUCACAAUCAAUUAAAAAAACUUUCAGCACUCUCACGUGGUAUGAGCUCAACAGUAGGACCUGAGAAUGUGAUUCAGCUACUAGAGUAAUCCAACAGAACUUUCAAUUAAUAAAUUUUGAAACAUGAUCUUUGAAAACAUGAAGAAUAACAACACUCAAACUAUAUGCAUAUCAAGCCACAAGUUCAAAACAGAUCAACAGAGACAAAUGGAUCUGAAUACUAGCCACCCGAAUGCAAUUCAGCCCGACAUUGAGCUACAACCAUAGGCAUUCCAAUUUUAUCAACUACUCAUGUUCAGGUUCAAUUAUGCCAGCAAGACGAGCUCAAAAAUCGAAAGCAAGAAAUCAAUUCUUUUAAACCUUAGCCAUGGUUGAUUUUUAAUUAGUAGACGAAAACAAAUGACAGGAUGUUGAGUGUUUUCAAACAGAACUGGUAGAGUGAACCAACAACUCCAAACUUCAUAUACUUGAAUUAACACUUCGCGAGAUCAUACUGACCAAGGACAAUAGCUCAAACUCCAAUAGGUACAACAAAGUGGAGGCAUAAUGCUUAAGAAAAUGUCAACAUAAUAACCAUUUAGCAUUCUAACAUAGAUAUAAUAUGCUUGCUCAAGACAAUGAACGUUCGUCGAUCCACACAACAGCUUAAAGCAAACAGAACCAAAAUAGAUGCCUCAAUCUGAAUUUCAGCAAGUUAAACAGAGGCAGCUAUGAUAUAAUUGUCUAGUUUCCUAAUUAAAAACAAGUGAAAAAAAAGGGAACAAAUCGCGAAAGCUUGGUCGAGUGUAAAACAAACUUUGAGGCAGCAUUCAAACACAAUCCCUUUCAAACUAUCUGUCAAGAACCUACGGAUUUGUAUCAAAUUGAAGAACGGAAAAUUUCAAAACUCAAUUUACAUGUAAACUCAGCCAAACCAAAUAGAAAUAUUCAUGAAAAUUACUAACAAUCACAUUACGACCACAACUCUGUUAACAGUCACAAACUCGGAACGUUAGGGAGAAAGGGAACCAGGAAGGAACCUGAAAAUGAGCUUUCAAUUGAUGUUUGAAAUGAUUAGAGAAGGUAUAAACGAAUCUAGAUAUGCAAAAUCCAGCAGCAAGCCAAUCCAAAACAUCAAGACGAGAUGUACUCCAACCGGAACGACGAACUCGGACCUCAGACGGUGAAUUAAAUCAGCUCCGGACAAACUCCAUCUUUGAGACCAUAAUCAAGAGGCAAAACUAAAAUUUUGACUCGUUUUGGGUUGUUCAGAAGCAGGGGUCGUUGGUUGGUCUUUUUGACGCUUCUGUUCUAGCUGGUGGGGUUGGUUUCUGGUGAGUUUUAACGGUUGGGUGUCUAGGUUGUUGAUGUUAAAGAAGAGGGAAAUAGGGUUGUUGCUUGGGGAUGACGAAGAAGAUGGAAUUCAAAGAGGGGGGGAGGGGUCUUGUGUGUAACGGUUGUUGCUUAGGGGUGAGGUUCUCUCAUUUUUGCCAUGGAAAGAAGCUUGUCUUCUUUUGGAGAUGAAGACCGAUCGGGGGGAGGGGGUCUCUAUGUUUACAAAGGGCUCCCCUAGA
rnacentral:lncRNA from 1 species